rnacentral:rRNA from 1 species
AUUGAACGCUGGCGGCAGGCUUAACACAUGCAAGUCGAACGAGUGGCGGACGGGUGAGUAAUGCUUGGGAAUCUAGCUUAUGGAGGGGGAUAACUACGGGAAACUGUAGCUAAUACCGCGUACCAUAGGAUGAGCCCAAGUGGGAUUAGGUAGUUGGUGAGGUAAAGGCUCACCAAGUCGACGCUCUCUAGCUGGUCUGAGAGGAUGACCAGUCAGACUGGGGAUGAGACGCGGUCCAGACUCCUACGGGAGGCAGCAGUGGGGAAUCUUCCGAAAUGGACGAAAUGUGACGGAGCAAAGCCGCGUGAGUGGUGACGGCCUUCGGGUUGUAAAGCUCUGUUAAUCGGGAGACGGUACCGGAAUAGAAAGCCACGGCUAACUACGUGCCAGCAGCCGCGGUAAUUC